ACCAAACAAAACCCCCCGAAACACCUUUUACAUUUAGAUAUUCACAGAGCAGGAAUAGCUUUGCUGUCUAGGGUGAAUAAAACAUUUCUGUAAGGCAACAGCUUGAUUGUGAGAACUACUUUAGCCUCCGCUUUCCCAGAAGCAAUGCUCAGCAGGAGCACUGCAGUACCCUCACAGGGAUCCCUCACCAAAGAGGUGUGAGGUAUGUGCCAUUUAACAAGCACCUUGCUGAAUCAAGUGCUGCCUUCUGCAGCUCACUUGGCUGCCUGCAUGAGUUUGUCCUGUGCAAGAGUCCUUGUGAGGCUGGUCAAUGAGAGAUCUUUCUUCUCUGGAGUUCAGCUGAACUGAGCUUUCUUCCUGAACAGUAAAAUGAGGAAGAGGACGCAGAAUCCUGUACCUGAGAGCUAUGAAUAAAUGAAUUUGAGAUAGAGGGGCAGGGAAGCGGCUUCCUGCCCUGGGACUGAAUACAUUAUUGUUACAUGUGAGACUUGUCAACAAAAGUCUCAGCAGGAACUGCAUUUUGGUUGCCAGGCCCCUGAGUACCCUUAAUGGCCUUAAUCAGCCGUAGCUGAGGCCUUCCACCCCACACCCCUUGGCCAGGUGGAUCAUUUAAGCUCAGUGCUGGGGACACAAUCCUCGUAUGAGAGUUGCUCAGCUGCAGUCAUGCCCAUUUCAGGCUGUGGAUGCUAUUAAUACUGACCCACGGACUGAUUUCCUGGCUUGGACUUGAGCCUGUCCUGUCACCAUGGACCUCCCUAGUGAUCCCUGGGCUGUGUCUGACCUGAUUGCCCUGGUUUCAUCGUGGCUCUGACUUGUGCUUCCUGCCUUACCACCAUGAGUGUGCCUGGCUCCUGCACUCUGAAGAGGAUGCUCCGCUCUGCUCUGCAGCGAUGCGCCCGGGAGGACAGCAGUUAAGAUGUGGGCCUUAUUUUCCUGCCCAAAUCCCGCAGGGGAAGAAGCGAUCCCAUGCUAUUCGUUGUUUUGAGAUUAUUGAAGAAACCACUGCUAUUGAACUAGCAGGGGAUCUUUCCUUCUGUGACCUUUGCCAGAGCAUCUGAUUGGUAUGCCCCAGCUGCAGGCCCUAAUUUUCUUGGGAAAGUUUUAAGAUCAUCUGAAAAGCAACCAUCUUCUUUCCUAGCCCUUAACUGACUUGUACGGGCUUUUCCUGGCCUUUCCAACUGCAGUGUGAAGGGGAUUGUUUGUUUUCUUUUUAAAUGCUAUCCUGCCUGCCUCCUCUUUUUUAACAAAACUGUACGUGAAGACUCGCUGUGUAUCGAGCAUGGCACAUGGACGGAGUGGCUGCUUUGAACUACUUUCGGAACAAUGGAUUCUGCUUGACUGAUAAUGAAACCAUGGGAUAGACCUCAGGGAGCCUGAUUACUACCUGAAGUCAGCACCAGCGCUGCUGCUGUUUUCCCACAACUGCAAUUUGGAAUAAGUAGGUAGUUUUACAGCGAAGCAGGGAUUGCCAAGGACAAUUCAGAAUUUGUCUGGCUUCAGUGAUUUUUGGAUCCAUCUAUGAAGUGCCCAACUGUACUGCCUACUACCGAGUUAGAAUUGUGCUUGAGAAGCUUUCAGAGCUGCUGACCAAACCUGUAACGAUGCUGGGGCUUGCUGAUGAAAAUCACAGAGCUCUGGAUGUCUUACUGCUGGUGAGGCCAUGGCACGGUAAGGAAUUGGAAAGCAAAGCAGGGGAGAGGAGGGAAGAAAAGUGUUUUUUUUUUUUUAUUUUUUAUUUUUUUUUAAUUUUUAUUUGCACGUUGAUCUAAGCUUAGCACAGAAAUUAGCUGAACCCUGCAUCUCUGAAUGUGGUGACACAGGAAACCUGAGCCUCCACUUCCUGCUAGAAGUUGGUGAUUGUCUCUUCUCAGCAACUGGCCACGUGCAAUUUCUGCCUCUGUUACCACCUCACGUUUUGCAGUCUGUCUUCUGCUCUAGAGUCACGCUUCAGGACUUGGCUCUGGAUCUUGCUGGGACCAAGCCUUUCUUUUCCAUCAAGCCUCCAUGCAACGAAGGGGAUUGCAGUGCACCCGGUAUGGUCCCACGCCUUCUGAUGACAUCCACAAUUGAGCAUAUAAUUAAGGGUGUAGAUCCAGCGCUGUAUCCUUUGAAGAGCUGCCAGAAUUGCAUAGCUGCUCUGACAGAGGUAUUUCCUCACUGGGGUACGUCUUCCAUAUCUUUGUUUCAGUGGCUUAGUAAGACAGAGGGGAAGAACAAUAUGAGAUGACGAGAAGCAACGUCGUGUCAUAGGUUAGAGAUGGGACGGGGCUGCUGAAGGCUGGAACUGAGGAAUGACUGUGAGCCAAAAGAGCAGCCUGUCUGAUUGGUUUUUAAGAAAUCUUUCCUUUUUUUUUUUCUUUCUUUUUUUUUCUUUUUUCUUUUCUGGGAACAUUUGUUUGGCCUAUUUAAGACAGCUUCACCCUCUUCUGGUUUGCCUGCUUUGCUGCGACACCGUCUUGCACCCCGACUCGAGCCACCAUGCAGUUCCUCCCUGAAAUCUCCCAGCGCUGAAAUUCCAUAGGAAAACAGAAUGAUGUCAUUUAAGUCAGACCAUAAUUUUCCAGCUGUUGGAAGAAGGCAUGUUGUGGUGUUUAUUUCGCUACUUAUAAAGAUUUGUGGCGAUGAGGGAAAUAUUUUACUUCCAAGAUCAUUGUUCAAGCAAUUGAAACUGCUCAUCUGGGGCUCUGUGCCCAUAGCCUGGGGAGGUGGAAGGGAUGAAGGGGAGGCAGAUGUACAUGCUGCAUGUAGGUAGCUGCGUGUAUGGAGCCUUGUAGGUGUUAAGGGAUUGUUUUUUGCAGCUUUGUUUUUUUUAUGGUGAGAAGGAGGAAGCCACAGAACGGGCAGCCUUUCAGCACAGCUGUGCCCAUGCAAACCUUUGGCAUCUCCAUUAUUGGCUUUGCAUUUGGUGAGACUUCUUGUGGAUCAGGCAGGCUCUCACCUUGGCAGUUUCUCAGGUUGUUUCUUGUAUCUAGUGUGGACCAGGCUUGGCCCCAGGCUGCUCGCUGUACUGUAAGCCAGGGCUCUGCAGGUGAUGGAAAUUGCUUAUUGCGCUUCUGGUCAAUGUGGAUUUGAAAACCUCUCAGCAGAGCUUUCCAGAAGCAGCAAAGGCUUCUAGAGCCUUUGAUCCUGCUGGAAGGGAAGGUCCUCUGAGGUUGUUUCAAAAAACAAGAAUAAAAAAGUCAUUCUGUGGUUCCUAAACCCUGGAUUUUGUCCUCUCUUACUGCUGCCCAGGCUUUCCCCAUGCUUUACAAAACUCUUGUGCAUGUGGCAUCUGCAGAGAUGGCCAGGUGUCCUUGUGCCAAAGGAAGGGAGAGAAAGGGGCAAGUGUCUGAGACCCCACAUCGUUUGCUACCCUUGUUUGCCCACCACCUUCCUCGUUACCUCUCAGGUAACGCAGUGGAAAGCAGGGCAGCUCCAACAUGUGAAGCCUUUGUCAGGCACUAGCAGCGCUUCAGGCAGGAAGCCCUGGCCAAGCUCGCCCUCCAGUUUGUCUCAGCACUCCAGAAGGGCUGGAUGCAAUAACGAACAAAAGCUUUUUGGAUGCUGUUGUUGCUCUUUUUUUUUCACUGUGUGGGUCUAUUAAAGCAUCGCUGCCUUUUGGGAGCUCAGCUGGAAGAAGAAAACAGGCCUGGAAAAAAUAACUGCGUUAUGUGAGACCACUGGCUACUGCUGGAACGGUGUCAGUUCGUAGCACGUUAGGCAGGUUCCCCGUGCAUCCGCUGCAAAGCUUCUGCUGACAGGACUUGAGCCCUAGCAGUGAGAGCAGCCAACAACAGCAAAGAAGGGAAGGAAGAAGAAAAGAAGCUGUGGGCUCUGGGGAUCCUGUGUGAUCCUGGAGGCUGUGGGCAGCGUAACGUGGUAGGGAGAGAAAAGGAAACUGGGAACGCUCCCCUGAUGUACCCCGCAGCUUGUAGGGUCGGAUAAGAGGUUGCCUACGUGUAGGGAAGACUUGAAGUGCCUGGCACGAUGUUUUCCACUUCCAAUGCCAGGUUAAGGGAACAGAAGCAGCCCAGCACAGGAGCGCUCGGUAGGUGGAUGGACACAUGGUAGUUACCCCUCCCAGGCUACUGGAGCGUGCACAGAAGCAGAGCUGAAGUUUGUCAUCAUUGAUCGGCUCUAGAAAUUAAAACGACCUCUUGAACUUGACACAUAAAUAUAGGCUCUUCAGCUUUUAACCCUGCUCCCCAUUACCUCAUCAUAUUUUACCAUGAAGGAAACAUAUACCAUAAUGUAUUCUUUGUCACAUAUGGUCCACACCCUUAUGUAAACUACGUUUUCAGUCUUCUUCCCAUGCAGACGCAUUACCCAAUAAGCAUUCCUCAGACAUGCCAGUUAACGCUUUACUGCUUAGCAAAUCUACUGGAUUAACACAAUUACAGUAAAAGCACGGGACAAAAUAAAUAUUCCCCAAAGAACCUUUAGGAGGAUUUUGCCAUUUCUUGGUUAGUAAGAGAUGAUCCCUCAACAGACACCAGACUGGCCCUGUUUUCAUUUCUCUUAUUUCAUCCGUCCCAGCGGAGCAAGAAAAAUAGAUCAGUGUUCGGGCAACAGAAGAAUGAGCAGCCUUGUAUUAUCUGUACUUUUUGCUUCAGUCUGCAGGGAAAGCUGAGAGUCAGGGGAAGAAUCAGGGAACUUUGUGUUCAGCCAACUUCAAAGCCUUUGGUGUCUGGCCAGAUUUGCAAAACUUAAUUGUACAUUUGCAUUGUGUGUUGCAAUACCUUGGAGAUCUACGGAGCAGUUCUCGUUUGGCCCUAUUGGGUGCUUGGCUACUCUAAACGUGCCCGUUAAACAAACACAGAGCUUCCACGCUCACUGUGCAGUGUCCAGUAUCCCACACUCAGCAGUGGGGUGAUCUCUUACCUGUCUCGUGGUCCAAAGGGAGAGAUGAAGGGAAGCUGUAGCAGUGCUCCAUCCCUCAGCCUGGACCCUCCUGAGAUGUGUUUCCCCUUGGGUACCGGUAUCAACACCUGCUGAAGCCAGCAAGGAGGUAGCAGAAGUAGGUGAGAACAGGUCAUAGCUCUUCCCAAGUGCUCUGAAGCAACAUUAGCCAUGUAUCUAAUCUCUUGACUUCUUCCUUUGUCAAUAUUUUCCUUUGAAUCGUGUUGUGAUGGAAUGGUAACGCUGCUUUUUUCCUUCCAGAGACAGUGCUGGUGGAUUUUUUCCACCGCUCUAACUUUUUGGUCCAGUUUGAGUCAUUCAGGCUUGGAAAUCUCCAGCGAGUUUGGAUCUGAAUGUGGCUGGAUUGAUCCAUACUACUGCCAACACUUUUUUGGGGGAGAAAGAGAGAGACAAAAAGAAAAAAACAACACUAAGGGAAGCAUUGGAUUUAUAGCACUCCAGAUGUCAGGGAAAUGAACAUAAAAGUGCAGAUGCCUUAUAGUCAGGAAGACUGUUCAAAUGUAUGCAAAUGGGUGACAAGUUUAUGUGAAUAUGGUUGGGGAAAAAAAAAGGCAAGAAGAAAAUGCUUAAAUAAUCACGUUCUUACUGCUGUGAGUCUUGAGCAUUGAGUUUAGUGGAAGUCAUGGUUGUGAUGACCCAAAGAAGAGCAAGGCCCUGGUAAACAUGGCUGGCUGGGCAGACAUUGAUUGAUCUUAAUGUUCUUGGACAAACCAUUAAAGUGCCGUGAGUUCAUAGCUCCUAACUUAUGGGGCCUAUUGAUCAAGCUUUUCCUUGCACAGCAGUAUUUAGAUUAUUCUGCAAAUCAUCUUCAUGGCUAGCUAUGAGACUUGUCUACAGUGUCUUCAGUUAGGACAGCCUAAAUGUAUGGGAUUUAAGUGAGAGCAGAUGUACUUGCAUGUACAUUUCACAUAUGAGCUUCUCAAUUGUUUGGGGGUAACAAAACAAUUCUCUCUGUCAAAUGUGCUUCCAACUUGUGAAUUAAUUAUAUCUGCUUCCCCGCAAACUGUUUAGGAGCAGCUGGUCUUCCUGGCAUCUUUAUUAGCAUGCAAAGAAGCUUCUCCAAAGUAUGAAAUGCCAAAAGGAAAAGCCUCUGGCUAAGUCCUACUGUGGAUACUCAGAAUUGGGUGGUGUCUGUCUGCAGCCAGGUGAAGGAAAUAGCUGUCAGUGGUCAGUCUAAGGCAUCCCUCUGUGCAUUAUCUUGAUCUGCGUUCUAUAUCUUUCUACUGUUGGAUAAAAACAACUGAAAAUUAUAGUCAAAAGCAGAUAUAAAAUUAAGGAAAACUGAUACAGUCUGGAUAAUCGGCUGCUAAACAGCUUGUAUGGAUCUGUGUCCAAACCCGAAGCCUUUAAAUCAGGUUUCAAGCAAGCUAGCUUUUCUGGAUAUCUUUACUUACAAUGCACAGGGGAUUUCAGGAGGGCAACUGCCAUUAAUGUUACCAAGCAUUACUUGGGUAUGUUCUUUGUUUGUCUGUGAAGGAGAAGACUUGCCAUAUAUGUAGUCCCAUGACGCAAUAGUAGAACCUUUUAAAAAGUUAUUAAACAGGUAGUAAAAUGCUUUUACAAAAUACACUUUGAUUUGUACAGUUUUUAGAAAUGGCAGAGGACAAAACCACAUCCAUUAAAUUUCAAAAACAAUCCACAGAAGAAAAAAAAAAAAGAAGAAAAAAAAAGCUUUAAUUUACAAUAGCUUGGUUUUACUAUACAGGAAAGGUGAGAAAAAUAAUACAAGUUAUACAGCUCACUUCUUACAAAUACCAGCUUAUAUGAGCUAACACUGGCAGUUAACAUCUUAGCUUUUUCUCAGCAAUAAGCUACAUCUGCAGAACUUAUGGGUUGGGUUUUAUAAAGUUCACAAUUCAGAAAUGUCUCUGUGCUAAAGGGCUUUGGCUCUCUAGCUCAGGGCAAGUUUUAUAUGCUACAGUCUGUAAUCAUCUUUGUUUCUAGAGAAGUAUAUGCAUGGAUCAUGGAUUAAAACGUUUUACUACGUGCCAGCUGGAUUUUAUUAGCUGAAUAGAUUAUAUCCUAAACAGGUCAACUACCUCUGAUUUAAAUGCAUGGAGAAUGGGAAACAGCAUUUAUCCAUGCUGUGGGUUUAUCAUAUGAUACUGCAGCUAUGCUUCACUCCCAGCCACUAUCUGAAUGGGAGAGCAGAUUACAGGGUAUCCGAAGUCAACAUCAAAAUGAAUCCCAAUUUAUUUCAAUAGAUGCAAGGGUUGGUAUAAAGAAAUAAAUCUCUGCAGCCAUUGGGAUGAUGAGAACUCGGUGCAUUCUCAGCUGGUUGCAAACCCCUGAUUCUUUGAACAUGUUGCAAAUAGAAAUGGGCAGAGCAUAUCUGAAAUAGCUGGAAUAGUGGUAGGAGUGGAGUAUUUGCUGGCAUGUGAGCAGCUUGAGAGUCUAUUCUCCUCCAGACACAUCAGUUUACCAGAAUUAUUUGAAUGAAACUGGAUCGGAUUAAAUUAGUAAAUCAGGAGAAAAGUAGAGAAGUGACAGGUUGGAAUUAACAAGGUUUCAACCUUCACCGACAAGGUCUGUAUUUGGGAAUUUCAGUAUAGGUUUACUAAAGCAUCUAGACAGUAUUUAGAUAAUGUUUAGGUUUAGCUUUGUUGGGUUCAGUUGCUUGUGUGCAUGUGUGUAUUUCUCCGUGUGUGUCUAUGUCAUAAACAUCAGUGAUGGUAAGGGCAGAAGUUGCAUUCCUUCAUAGCUAAGUGAACAAAUUUGAAAGUGUUACCGUGCAGCAUUCUAGCUGUGUUUAUUCUGAAUCAAAAAUAUUUUAUGAAGAGGUAGUGGUUUUUUUCAAACUGCUAAAAAUAAGCAGGCUUGAGCAUUCUUUAAUCUCUAUUUAAAAUAAGCACAUGAAAAUGUUCCCUGUGUCUACCCUUAGAUCCAAAAAAAAUCCUUCCUAAAUAUUGUUUUAAAUUUUCAAUGCAUUUAGAAGGUCCUCAAAAGUUUGUUCUCUGCACGAGACCUAUCCUGCUUGAUUUGUCAACAGGUGAGAUCUCCAUAUAGUGCAGCCUUGUGGCUAAGAAGAAAUCAUCCUGCUGCAGUGGCAUUACAGCACAGCUAGAUAUAACGGUGUUCUUGCUCUCCUUCCUUUUUGCAAGGCCGCCUCUUUGACCUAUCCCUCUGCUAGUAACUGUGGUAGAGGGCAGCAGGAGGAUGGGAGUGACUGGGUGUAAGGACACAGAAAAUACAAGGUCAGGCAUUCCUGGCCUUGCCAGUUACCUCUGCCCGUACUAAUGUGUGCUUGCCUACAAUGGAAACACAAAGUACAAGCUAUUCAGAAACCAGAGGAGAAACAAUAGAAGAAUAGGUAGGUGUAGUACCUGUGGAUGGAAGGAGUUGUCCGAAGGAAAGAAAGAGAGGAGGGGUAGUGUUACUGCUACCUACUUGUCCUAAUUAGCUGCUAUUAAAUACGUGACCCAGCAUUACGUUAUUGUUUUCAGUAAGGCCAACCUGAUAGCUAUAUAGCCACGCAACGGCUUCCCAAUGGAAGCAGGGGGAAGCUAUUUACUGAUUUGCUUAAAUCUCUGUUGAGCAAAGCAGUGGAAAAUACUCUGUAGGAAAUAAUCAUCCACUGGCAGGAGGCUGGGAGAGGUUACAUAACAGCGAUCAUAUUUCUGUGACAAUGAAUGAUGCUGUUUAUAUAACAUUCAUUUCUGGUCAUGUACCCUAGACUUUGCUUAUUUUUGUCUCAUCCUAAGAUAAUGCAGAAGAUAAAUUCAACUUACCGUUUUGGCCUACGCUUCCUAGAAAACAGUUAAAUGUUUCUUGCCUAAAUUUCUGAAUGUAGGUAUUGCGAUGUCCACAAAUUCUCACUUUUCUUCAAGGCACGCUGCUUUUUCUGUGCUAGAUUGCGAGCAGAUUGUAGCAUCUAUCCUUUAAAAAGGGGGAAGGGGAGGGUCUUGGGAAUUACGUCCGAGUCGGUCUAACCUUGAUAUUUGGAAAGAUACUAGAACAAAUUAUUAAGCAAUCCGUGUGUAAGCACCAUCCAGAUAAUAAGGUGAUAAAAAAGAGUCAACACACAUUUGUCAAGAACAAAUCAUGUUAAGCCAAUCUAAUUUUCUUUCUUCACAGGGAAAGUGGCUUAGUGUGGAUAAGGAGAAAGUGGUGAAUGCGAUGCAUCUUGUCUUAAGCUAGGCUUUUGACACUGUGGCUCAUAUGGAAACUGCAAGAAUUUGGCCUGAGUAACAGGGGAUGGCCAAACUCUUUAAAAUCCUGCACUGAGAAAGUAGUUAGUGGCGCUCCGCUAAGCACCCUGCUAAAAUGUGUAUUUCCUUUUGCUUUCAGAGUGAGGUUAACUGUGGGUCUAGUUCUAGUUGAUAUUUUUAUUACUGAAAAACGUAAGGAUGGUGGGAUGCUGAGAGGCUACAGAAGUUCUUUGGAAAACAGGAUUAAAAACAAGAAAGAACAUGAGAUGUUGGUGAAAAAAAAAACAACAACAAACAAACAUAACCAGCAUGGUGACACUCAGAUUAUUAACCUGCAAGGUAGCAUGCAUACAAUAAUCUGUAAAUAUGCAGAGAUGGCAGCAGGAGAGAAAAUGGGAGUUGUAGAUCCUGGUGAGUAGAGCACAAAUAAAAAAAUAAUACAAUAAUGGCAUUAAAAGAGCAACUCUAAGCAUGCAGUGUGCGAGCAGGAGCGGUGUGUGCAAGAUGUCUCUGUUCAGUGCCAAGAAGUCGGAAGCUGGAUUUUCAGGUCUGGUUUUGGACUUCUGAAAAGUGAUGCAGAAAAAGUGGCUAUCUUCCAGGAAAACAACCCCAGCGCUUCGAGAUUUAGGAAAUAUAUUCUGUGCUGAAAGAUGGAAAGAUUUGUGCGUGUUUAUCUAGAAAAGAUGUCUGAGGGAAGGCGUAAGUCUUCUAGUAGGCAGAAGUUGUUAGAAAAAGGAGACAGAUCUAUCACUUGGGAUGUCCAUUGAGUGUGGGAUAGGAAAUACUGUAUUUUUACAUGUUUAAUAGAAGGCUCUGUAAAAAACAAACUGCGCUCAAGGUUUAGCAGAUCGGUGUUCUUUCUUGCUCAGGCUUAAUGAGAAGUGUCACCCGCCUACCUCUCAGCAGUGCUGCUGACCCUGAUCUCUGCUAGCUGCUAUCUACCCUGAUAGUCAUCACGGCUCCAUCUUUAAUUUACUUUCUAAAGGUGCAGAGUAUCGGUGGAUUUACGUCCAGCCAUCGAUGUUUUCAAAGGGUUGGACUUACCUAAGAUGUGGAUUAAAGAUGUGAAAAUAGAUUUGGAGGUUGGCUCUGCUGGCAGCAAAAUAAGGCUCUUGGUUGUUUAAACAAUGUCUGU